rnacentral:rRNA from 1 species
UACGUAGGGUGCGAGCGUUGUCCGGAAUUAUUGGGCGUAAAGAGCUCGUAGGCGGUUUGUCGCGUCGACUGUGAAAACCUGGGGCUUAACUCUGGGCCUGCAGUCGAUACGGGCAGACUUGAGUUCGGUAGGGGAGACUGGAAUUCCUGGUGUAGCGGUGAAAUGCGCAGAUAUCAGGAGGAACACCGAUGGCGAAGGCAGCUUGCUGGGACGGUACUGACGCUGAGACGCGAAAGCGUGGGGAGCAAACAGG